rnacentral:rRNA from 2 species
GGGGCCUGGCGGCGUGCCUAUACAUGCAGUCGAACGAACUCUGGUAUUGAUUGGUGCUUGCAUCAUGAUUUACAUUUGAGUGAGUGGCGAACUGGUGAGUAACACGUGGGAAACCUGCCCAGAAGCGGGGGAUAACACCUGGAAACAGAUGCUAAUACCGCAUAACAACUUGGACCGCAUGGUCCGAGCUUGAAAGAUGGCUUCGGCUAUCACUUUUGGAUGGUCCCGCGGCGUAUUAGCUAGAUGGUGGGGUAACGGCUCACCAUGGCAAUGAUACGUAGCCGACCUGAGAGGGUAAUCGGCCACAUUGGGACUGAGACACGGCCCAAACUCCUACGGGAGGCAGCAGUAGGGAAUCUUCCACAAUGGACGAAAGUCUGAUGGAGCAACGCCGCGUGAGUGAAGAAGGGUUUCGGCUCGUAAAACUCUGUUGUUAAAGAAGAACAUAUCUGAGAGUAACUGUUCAGGUAUUGACGGUAUUUAACCAGAAAGCCACGGCUAACUACGUGCCAGCAGCCGCGGUAAUACGUAGGUGGCAAGCGUUGUCCGGAUUUAUUGGGCGUAAAGCGAGCGCAGGCGGUUUUUUAAGUCUGAUGUGAAAGCCUUCGGCUCAACCGAAGAAGUGCAUCGGAAACUGGGAAACUUGAGUGCAGAAGAGGACAGUGGAACUCCAUGUGUAGCGGUGAAAUGCGUAGAUAUAUGGAAGAACACCAGUGGCGAAGGCGGCUGUCUGGUCUGUAACUGACGCUGAGGCUCGAAAGUAUGGGUAGCAAACAGGAUUAGAUACCCUGGUAGUCCAUACCGUAAACGAUGAAUGCUAAGUGUUGGAGGGUUUCCGCCCUUCAGUGCUGCAGCUAACGCAUUAAGCAUUCCGCCUGGGGAGUACGGCCGCAAGGCUGAAACUCAAAGGAAUUGACGGGGGCCCGCACAAGCGGUGGAGCAUGUGGUUUAAUUCGAAGCUACGCGAAGAACCUUACCAGGUCUUGACAUACUAUGCAAAUCUAAAAGAUUAGACGUUCCCUUCGGGGACAUGGAUACAGGUGGGUGCAUGGGUUGUCGUCAGCUCGUGUCGUGGAAAUGUUUGGGUUAAGUCCCGCAACGAGCGCAACCUUUAUUAUCAGUUGCCAGCAUUAAAUUUGGGCACUCUGGGUGAGACUGGC